rnacentral:rRNA from 1 species
GACGAACGCUGGCGGCGUGCCUAAUACAUGCAAGUCGAGCGCAGGAAGCUGACGGAACUCUUCGGAGGGAAGGCAGUGGAAUGAGCGGCGGACGGGUGAGUAACACGUAAGGAACCUACCUCAAGGAUUGGGAUAACUCCGAGAAAUCGGAGCUAAUACCGGAUAGUUCAUCGGACCGCAUGGUCCGUUGAUGAAAGGCGCUUCGGCGUCACCGUGAGAUAGCCUUGCGGUGCAUCAGCUAGUUGGUGGGGUAACGGGCCACCAAGGCGACGAUGCAUAGCCGACCUGAGAGGGUGAUCGGCCACACUGGGACUGAGACACGGCCCAGACUCCUACGGGAGGCAGCAGUAGGGAAUCUUCCACAAUGGACGAAAGUCUGAUGGAGCAACGCCGCGUGAGUGAUGAAGGUUUUCGGAUCGUAAAACUCUGUUGUAAGGGAAGAACACGUACGAGAGGGAAUGCUCGUACCUUGACGGUACCUUACGAGAAAGCCACGGCUAACUACGUGCCAGCCGCCGCGGUAA